CGGGGUAGUUACUCCUUAUGUUGCGCUCUGUGCUGCCAUUUGGGACUGUACCAAAGCGGAACGGAGGAUACUGCUCCUGUGGCUUUUGAAACUG
rnacentral:miRNA from 1 species